UGUAAGCGUAUACCAAAGUUGUUGCAGUUAAAACGCUCGUAGUCGGAAUUUGGCAGUUCCGGAUGUGUGCACGUCGUGUGCGCACUUCGCGGGGAUUGCUUUUGUGGUCUUGCGUAGGAUGAGGCACUUUUAUUAGUGAACGUCCUCACGCAACCACUUUUUACUGUGAGAAAAUCAGAGUGCUCAAAGCAGGCAUUUGCCGUGAAUGUAUUAGCAUGGAAUAAUAGAAUAGGACUUGGUUCUAUUUUGUUGGUUUGUUGGGACUGAGUAAUGAUUAAGAGGACAGUUGGGGGCAUUUGUAUUUCGGUGCUAGAGGUGAAAUUCUUAGAUUACCGAAAGACAAACUGCUGCGAAAGCGUCUGCCAAGGAUGUUUUCAUUGA
rnacentral:rRNA from 1 species